GCGCCUGUGGUGGGUCCGGCGCAGAGCACUUAUGUGUUUCGCAGGCAACCGUUCUGCGUACGAUCCUGUACAUUCAGGGAAUUUCCCUGAAUUUAAAUUCUUC
rnacentral:sRNA from 1 species